rnacentral:lncRNA from 1 species
AAGCAAGACAAAAACAAAACUUGUAGCCCUCGAGGAGUAGGAAAGUCAAAAUCCAAAUGGUCUCAAGAGAAGCAACAAAGAAGUUUUCCAAGUCCAAGAAGGAAAAGGAUUCCAAGAUGAAGAAGGAAAGACAAAGACAUGGUUUCCUAAUCCUAAUAGGCAAAGUUUCCAAGUGAAAUGAGGAGUCCUUAUCCAUUUAGGGCACCUUAUCCAUUUAGGACACCUAAACCUUAUCUUUAUAGUGCCGCACCCUAGGCCUUCUAGAAACCUGAUUUCCUUGCCUUGCAAGGCCAUCUAGAAGCCUUAUCCUUCUAAUCCAUUCCUGCCGCACCUAGGAGGACCUUUCCUACCUAAAAUCUGAUUGUUUUAAGCCCUUUCCUGAUGGGAUUUAAUCCUCCAAGUCCUAAUCUGAUUUGCUAGACUUUUAGGACCCUAUAAAUACAUGGUGCCGCACCCAUUCAUUGACACCACUCACCACAAUUCACAAUUCACUCCAGAAAUUCGUCCAACCAUCUCCACACUCUUGCCGCAGCCACCAAACACCUUGCUCCCUAGUUUUUAAGCUUUGCCGCACCCCCCAUCCUUCCUAAACACCUCUACCCUAGUCCAUACCCAUUCACCCAUACACCUAAAUCCCUAAACCUGACCAUAGACCCUUUGCCGCACCAAGGAGGAGGAGAAGGAAGCUUGGAAGUUCAUGCCAUUCAAGUUUAAGUUGCUGGAAUUUCUAGGUGUUUCCUUUCCUUUGAUUUCAAUGUUUAAAUUCUAUACUCUUUGUUUUGUGCAUAUGAGGAACUAAACCCCCCCUUGGCUAGGGGGGAUUCAAAACCAUGUUUAUGCUUGCUAUAUGAUUUGAUUACUUCUAAUUGCGUUUCAUAAGUUGUGAAUUCAAUUUGCUCAUCUACAAGAAUUAA